rnacentral:rRNA from 1 species
GAUUAACGCUGGCGGCGUGCAUAACACAUGCAAGUCGAACGAUGAAACUCAUUAGAUUUCUUCGGAAUGAAAAUGAAUGGAUUAGUGGCGAACGGGUGAGUAACGCGUGAGUAACCUGCCUUACACAAGGGGAUAGCCUCUGGAAACGGAGAAUAAUACCCUAUGAAACCAGACAAUCGCAUGAUAAUCUGGUCAAAAUGUUUAGUGGUGUAAGAUGGACUUGCGUCUGAUUAGCUAGUUGGUGAGAUAAAAGCUCACCAAGGCAACGAUCAGUAGCCGGCUUGAGAGAGUGUACGGCAACAUUGGGACUGAGACACGGCCCAGACUCCUACGGGAGGCAGCAGUGGGGAAUUUUGCACAAUGGGGGAAACCCUGAUGCAGCGACGCCGCGUGAUUUAGAAGGCCUUCGGGUUGUAAAAAUCUUUUGUAUAGGAAGAAAAUGACAGUACUAUACGAAUAAGGUCCGGCUAAUUACGUG